ACUGCAUACAAACCCAAAGAGCAUUGUAGUGAUAAAAUGUUCUUGUCAUGUAUGCAAAUAUAAAAUGCACCUUGUCGCCUUUCGAGAGCUGAUGUGUCUUUGAAAGUGAAAUUGAAGGUGCCACAAUC